rnacentral:rRNA from 1 species
GACGAACGCUGGUGGCGUGCUUAACACAUGCAAGUCGAACGGGAUUUCGUAAACAGAAGCCUCGGUGGAAGAUUACUAAUGAGAGUGGCGAACGGGUGAGUAACGCGUGAGCAACCUGCCUAUGACAGUGGGAUAGCCUCGGGAAACCGGGAUUAAUACCGCAUAAAAUCGUAGAAACACAUGUUUUAACGGUCAAAGAUUUAUCGGUCAUAGAUGGGCUCGCGUCUGAUUAGCUAGUUGGUGAGAUAACAGCCCACCAAGGCGACGAUCAGUAGCCGGUCUGAGAGGAUGAACGGCCACAUUGGAACUGAGACACGGUCCAAACUCCUACGGGAGGCAGCAGUGGGGAAUAUUGCACAAUGGGGGAAACCCUGAUGCAGCGACGCCGCGUGAACGAAGAAGGUAUUCGUAUCGUAAAGUUCUGUCCUAUGGGAAGAUAAUGACAGUACCAUAGAAGAAAGCGCCGGCUAAAUACGUG